AGCGAACGCUGGCGGCAGGCCUAACACAUGCAAGUCGAACGAAGCCUUCGGGCUUAGUGGCGGACGGGUGAGUAACACGUGGGAACGUACCUUUUGGUUCGGAACAACUCAGGGAAACUUGAGCUAAUACCGGAUGAGCCCUUAGGGGGAAAGAUUUAUCGCCGAAAGAGCGGCCCGCGUUAGAUUAGCUAGUUGGUGAGGUAAAGGCUCACCAAGGCAACGAUCUAUAGCUGGUCUGAGAGGAUGAUCAGCCACACUGGGACUGAGACACGGCCCAGACUCCUACGGGAGGCAGCAGUGGGGAAUCUUGCGCAGUGGGCGAAAGCCUGACGCAGCCAUGCCGCGUGAAUGAUGAAGGUCUUAGGAUUGUAAAAUUCUUUUACCAGGGACGAUAAUGACGGUACCUGGAGAAAAAGCCCCGGCUAACUUCGUGCCAGCAGCCGCCGUAA
rnacentral:rRNA from 1 species